CAGGUUUACUGUUGGUAAAACAUGAAUGACUUGACAAACAUGAAUGCUAGCUAUUCACGCACCGCACUCAGUGGAAUUCAAAAUGUGCUGCCCCAUCAGAAGAAUAAUUUACAGAGCAGUAGGAAAUCAGAAAGCUUGCAGGUCGACAGGUUGUCCUGGUGCGCUGUUGAGUUUUUAUUGAAACUAACAAGAUUAACUUUAUUGGGAAAUUAAAACCUGUGAGAAUGUUUUUGAGCCACUCUCAUCAUUAAAACCUGGAAAUGGCGUCGUUAUCUUAAACAGGGAUUAUUAUUUUUCUAUUAAAAAUGGACUCUAUUCAGUGAUACAACUAAAUGUGCAAGUCACACUACAAUUAAGUAAUCAUUGUUCUGUAUGUUUACUUUGACCAUUGGCGGCGCAUUCUUUCGAAUGAAUGAAUCAUUAGAAGAACCAGUAUCACAGAAGGUUAUAAAACAUAUUAUAUUUACAUCCAUAAUCCCAUAUAAAAAAAAUGGAACAAGUCUAAUUCACACCUUAUAAACCACUAGUUUCUCCUUUACUUCGAAAGCUGUGUACAAUUGUCCUCGGAUUCAUUCAGAAAGAGGUUUAAAUUAAAUUUGUAAAAUACAAAAAACUUCUAAAUAGGUUAUUUGUACUCAAAAUAUGCACGGCAAAUGCGGUUUGACAAUGACUAAAAUUCUGAAUAAAUUUUAGACACUACGAAAGUACCAAAGCCUAUUGAUUUAUUUCGUAAUAUAUCAAAAUCCAACUCAUGAGAACUUCAGCAGAUGUCCAGUUCGCGUAAUAGUUUAGUCACAGCAGAAGCUCGAGUAUCAAACGAUGUGCAAGUGGUCUUGGCAUCUGAAGUUGGACGGUAGUAGAACAAGUGGCUCAAGACCAGAAAUCAAAGCAGACGUGUCGUCUAGCGGCCUAGUUUGUGGCGUAGAUCAUCUUAUCAGUAUAGCUUUAUGAAUUGUGACUUUCUGUGAUGCUGUCAAAUCGGGUUGGAGCUAUAAACGAGCAAUACACAACAUGCCGUGUCGACUGAUUAGGUUUUCGCCCCCUAAAUGAGUUUGGUGGGGCUAAAGCAAAGUUGGUUUUCAAUUAUACUUGAAUUGUUAAUUCAUUGCUGAUGAACAGUAUUGGGUGAGGCCAACGGUUUGAAGUUUCCGUGAUAAGUGCACAGAUUUCAAUCGAGGUUUUUAUUUUAAUUGGUGGGCACGGCUCUGGAUAGUCAGGAUAGAUACAGGCCUGGGAUAGAUAUCUAUAGCAAGUACAUUCCCGCCGUUCAUUAGACAUUAUAUAUGUUCUAAUGCUUG